AUAUCCUAAAAAUAAAAAAUUUUCCUUAAUGUCUUCAACAUUAUGCUCUCAAUAAGCUAUUAAAAUA
rnacentral:tRNA from 1 species